rnacentral:rRNA from 1 species
CAGUCGCCGCGGGAACACGGAGGGGGCUAGCGUUGUUCGGAAUUACUGGGCGUAAAGCGCACGUAGGCGGCUUGGUAAGUUAGAGGUGAAAGCCCGGAGCUCAACUCCGGAAUUGCCUUUAAGACUGCCGAGCUAGUCGGUGAGAGAGGUAAGUGGAAUUCCGAGUGUAGAGGUGAAAUUCGUAGAUAUUCGGAAGAACACCAGUGGCGAAGGCGGCUUACUGGCUCAUUCUAGACGCUGAGGUGCGAAAGCGUGGGGAGCAAACAGGAUUAGAUACCCGAGUAGUCCCUGUCUCUUAUAC